CUGGCGGCGUGCCUAACACAUUCAAGUCGAACGGAGAUAUACGGAAGCUUGCUUUGUAUAUUUCAGUGGCGGACGGGUGAGUAAUGCAUGAGCAACCUGCCUUGAAGAGGGGGAUAACACAGAGAAAUUUGUGCUAAUACCGCGUAAUCUGCCGAAGCGGCAUCGCAUUGGCAGGAAAGGAGCAAUCCGCUUUAGGAUGGGCUCAUGUCUGAUUAGAUAGUUGGUAGGGUAACGGCCUACCAAGUCUGCGAUCAGUAGCCGGACUGAGAGGUUGAACGGCCACAUUGGAACUGAGAAACGGUCCGGACUCCUACGGGAGGCAGCAGUGGGGAAUAUUGGGCAAUGGGCGAAAGCCCUGACCCAGCAACGCCGCGUGAAGGAAGAAGGUCUUCGGAUUGUAAACUUUUUUGACAGGGGACGAAGCAUGACGGUACCCUGAAAACAAGCCACGACUAACUACGUGCCAGCAGCAGC
rnacentral:rRNA from 1 species